UUAGCUGCUCCUUUUGGACACCAGGUGAGGGCGGCUCCAUGUUACUUUUUUAGGACACUGUGUACUGUACAGGACCCUGAAGAAGCUCCUGGCCUCUACAUAGACAGUGAUUACAGCUCCCAGCAGAUCUUUAUUACUUUAAUAUAUUUCCUUGCAUUGGACCGAGGCUCGGAGCUCAGAACAGAGGCCAUCUUUCUCCCGCUGAUGAGUGGACUGUAGUGUGCGAGUACUGGCCGGCCCUAACUCUCCAGGGUCGCCUCUUAACCUGAAGAAGCAUUUUGCUGUUUGUAUUAUUCUUGGCAGGGUCAGACUGGCACUUUGCAAACACAGAGGUGCAGCUGUUGUUGAACUGGUUAAGCAGGUGGCAAAGCUGAAGUAAACAUAGAGUACUGUGGAUUGGUUCUUACAAAUGACUCCAGGGUGGGCAGUGGGACCAAGAACUGGUGGAGCGUGCAAGUGGCUGCUCAUCUGCCAGAAUAAGGACAUUAAAUGCACAAGAUGUGGAAUUCUAGAAUGGACUGAUCAUUUCUUUGUCAGUGGGCAAAUGUACAAAACCAGCCAGGGAUCAAAUCCUUUUUUUUCCUGCACUGUAUGUCUCGAGACAGGCCUAUUGCUCCAAGUAAAGUGCUGCACCAAACAAGCACACAAAAUUACAGAGUCGCCUCUUCACUUUGAAGAAUCGGGGAUUUAUCUUAGUUGUCUGGACCAGUGGAAGCGCAAGGAUAGAGCAA